rnacentral:rRNA from 1 species
AUCUAUGGCAAUAUCAGUCUGAAAGUGCCUGAUCUUGUCAGAUCUUAGAAGCCAUCCAGACUCGGGCCUGGUUAGCACUUGUAUGGGAGACCUACUAGGAACCUCUGGUGCUGUAAUGG